AAUGAACGUUGGCGGCGUGGAUUAGGCAUGCAAGUCGAGCGCGAUAUGUAGCAAUACAUGGAGAGCGGCGAAAGGGAGAGUAAUACGUAGGUAUCUACCCUCGGGUCUGGGAUAGCAGCGGGAAACUGCUGGUAAUACCAGAUAACGUCUCCGGACCAAAGGUGUGAUUCCACCUGAGGAGGAGCCUACGGCCUAUUAGCUAGUUGGUAGGGUAACGGCCUACCAAGGCAAAGAUGGGUAUGGGGUGUGAGGGCAUGCCCCCACUCACUGGGACUGAGACACUGCCCAGACACCUACGGGUGGCUGCAGUCGAGAAUCUUCGGCAAUGGGCGAAAGCCUGACCGAGCGACGCCGCGUGCGGGAUGAAGGCCUUCGGGUUGUAAACCGCUGUCGUAGUGGAGGAAAUGUAGGAGAGCUAUCCCUUCUACUUGACUAAUACUAGGAGGAAGGACCGGCUAAUCUCGUGCCAGCAGCCGCCGUAA
rnacentral:rRNA from 1 species